UCCGUUUCUAGUCGUUAUGGCCAAAACAUGGAGCAUAGAGGACAUAAGAGUUACUGAUGGAAAAGUCUCGUUAAAGUGGAUCCCGAAACAUUCGGCAAAUCCUCGAGCCACCAGUCGAGCUCCAUCCGGAUUGAACAUAUUUUGCACGACCUAAUUCCCCUGCAAUAGCCUACUUAAUAGGGCAUAAUCUUUAAAAGUUUCUAAAAACGAGACGUCUCUUGGCGCUAUUAUCUUUCUCUCUUCCUGGUUCCAGACCCUGUAUCCCACGGACAUGAAUAGCACGAAAGUAUUCCUUGUUUGGUACUUUUACGUUCCAGAUACAGCAAUCUUACACAGCUCCGACCACGUAAAACUCGCAACUAUGGAACAUGUACUCGUCAGAUGGCCGAGUCAACACGGACAAGAUAUCGGUCAUGAACUACGUAGCGUUCAGUUCGACGAUUCCGUCCAAUAAACUAUUCUAUUCCUAUUUUCGAAUAAAUUUAACCCAUAUAAAAGAUUCAAUGUAUUUCCCUUCUUAAGCUAUCGUGUCGAAAUAGUCUUAUUUCCCUAUCUUCCAUAUAGUUUUAGUAUCGUCUUACUUAAUCUAGCUCCUGUCAUCUUCUAUUUUUUUCUUUCUAUCUAUAUCUUGUUUCUUCAUUUUUCGUUUCCUUUGGUACAAAGCAGCGAAUAUAAAAUUAUAAAAUUAUAAAAUAUAAACUAUAUCGUGUAUUUUGUAUUCGUUAUUACAUUCCCCAAUAAAACAUUAACUAGCCUAAUAACUACACUGAUGACCAUUUGCGUGCAGAUUGGCAGCAGAAUGUAACAAACUCUGCGCAGCGUAAUUAGACGGCAGGAAGGCAGCAGAAAUCCAGCAGAUUCUGCACAACUUCAGUCAGAUUUAAAAUCGCGUAUAUAUUGUCAUUUAAAUAUGCCCAUUAAAUUAACUGUUAUUACUAUUAAUAUCAUUG
rnacentral:misc_RNA from 1 species